UACGUAGGUGGCGAGCGUUGCCCGGAAUUACUGGGCGUAAAGCGUGCGCAGGCGGUCCGCUAAGACCGAUGUGAAAUCCCCGGGCUUAACCUGGGAAUGGCAUUGGUGACUGCACGGCUAGAGUGUGUCAGAGGGGGGUAGAAUUCCACGUGUAGCAGUGAAAUGCGUAGAGAUGUGGAGGAAUACCGAUGGCGAAGGCAGCCCCCUGGGAUAACACUGACGCUCAUGCACGAAAGCGUGGGGAGCAAACAGG
rnacentral:rRNA from 1 species